rnacentral:pre_miRNA from 1 species
UAUAUACUCCCUCCGUUCGGAAUUACUUGUCGUAGAAAUGGAUGUAUCUAGAUGUAUUUUAGUUCUAGAUACAUCCAUUUCCGAGACAAGUAAUUCCGAACGGAGGGAGUAUCUG